AGGUAAUCGCCGAAGAUAUUUAGCGUAUCACUAGGUUGUUUUGCCAAAGUUGACCGAACUUGAUGAUUGAGAGGAAAUAAAAGUCGUAACAAGGUUUCCGUAGGUGAACCUGCGGAAGGAUCAUUA
rnacentral:rRNA from 1 species